AGGUACCAUCAAACGUCUGCACUAUUCAUGCAAACGCGAUUUUUCCCUUAUGACAGGAGUUUACGACCCGAAAGCCUUCAUCCUCCACGCAGCGUCGCAUCAUCACGCUUUCGCGCAUUGUGAA
rnacentral:rRNA from 1 species